rnacentral:rRNA from 1 species
GCUGAGUCUGCGUCCUAUCAGCUAGUUGGUAGGGUAACGGCCUACCAAGGCGACGACGGGUAGCUGGUCUGAGAGGAUGAUCAGCCACACUGGCACUGGAACACGGGCCAGACUCCUACGGGAGGCAGCAGUGAGGAAUUUUGCGCAAUGGGGGAAACCCUGACGCAGCAACGCCGCGUGGGUGAUGAAGGCCUUCGGGUCGUAAAGCCCUGUCAGGUGGGAAGAAUGUCCUGGGGAUGAAAAAGCCUUGGGAGUGACGGUACCACCAGAGGAAGCACCGGCUAACUCCGUGCCAGCAGCCGCGGUAAUACGGAGGGUGCGAGCGUUAUUCGGAAUUACUGGGCGUAAAGCGCGUGUAGGCGGCUUGACAAGUCUGAUGUGAAAGCCCUGGGCUCAACCUGGGAAGUGCAUUGGAAACUGUCAGGCUUGAGUACCGGAGAGGAUGGGGGAAUUCCCGGUGUAGAGGUGAAAUUCGUAGAGAUCGGGAGGAAUACCAGUGGCGAAGGCGCCCAUCUGGACGGUAACUGACGCUGAGACGCGAAAGCGUGGGGAGCAAACAGGAUUAGAUACCCUGGUAGUCCACGCUGUAAA